GCUGCUGAACAAAUAUUCUUGGAGUUUGAAAAAACGAUCGUCCAGUAUGAGCAAGAGAUCGACCGUCAGCGCAGACUGAUGGAUAUCACCUGGAAACCCGAAAUAAAGCUGCACAGGACAGAACUCAAUGCCAUAUUCAAUGGCCCUGGCACAUGAACUGCUCUCAGUGAGUGGAACAGGGGGUGAUCCCACUGCCACAGCCUAGUAGCCAUCCUGGAGAGGAGGGGAGAGCCUAGGCCCCCGCCUCUUCAUGUAGGCUGCUGUGACCAUGGCAGGACGACAGCUUGCAGCUCCAACACAUUUAUGUGCCGUGACUCUCAUUGGCUGGUCCAACGGCCAUUGACCCCACGGCCCUCGUGGACCGCACCCUAACCUACUGGGGAGGCGUCUGUGGCAACUGGUGGUGACUCACCAAACCCACCGCUUGGCCCUGCUCCAAUUUGGUCGAGUCCCUCCACCAAUGGAAACUCUGUAUCCAGAUGUACAGGUACAGGUGGUUUGGUCCUCCACUGGCCCACAGCUGAUCUGUCAGAGCAGCUGUUUUCCUUCUGGUCAUUCAUUCUUUGUCUGGUAUAAGAAUGAAGAGGAAAUUCUUGGAGAAUCUUCUUCCUUAUACACAAAAUAUGCUGAUGGUCCCGACAGCUACUCCUGUGCUUACGAGGGUCACCGCUCUAACCCAGUGUGUGAGUUUACUUCACAGUGCCACUUAACAAAUGAUCAUCUUUGAUCGUCAGUUGUUAUAUUACAGACAGAUUAAAUCAUGUGAAUAAUGUACAAGUAGGAAAUAUGAUAAGUAUUGUAUAUGAAACAUAUUUAAAGAGAAACCAAGAAAUUAAAAAAACAUCAAAUGAUUAAAUUGAUUGUAUCCAUCCAUCUUAUCCAGUGAUCUUUGACUAAUCCUGAAAGUUAUCUUUGGUUGUUUGUAAUCCAGCAGUGAAACAACUUUGUCUUACUGCUCAACUGCUUCUUAGAUUUAAUUCACAGAUAUCAGUUACUGUUGGAACCUGUUGACAAAAUAAUUUUAAUUAAAGUCAAGGUUUCAUUUUUUUGAGUGUAGUAUUGUUGUAAAGUAUGUUAUUAUAUUUUACUUGUUCCUAUUCUAAUGUGUUUUUCUUAACUUUUACUGUUUUCAAACUUUCCCAAAUUUCCCACGUGUGGGUUAAGUCCCACACGUGGGAAAUUUGGGAAAGUCAGCGCUCUUCUGUGGAAAAAAACAGAGGCGAUUAAUUCACUUGGGUGCUAGUGGGUAUACUGUCGGUAACAGACUUUUGCCGUUUUGUUUGGAUCAUUUGUCAAACAAAAUGGCAAAAUGGCACUGACAUGUUUGCAGCGCCAACACUGUUUCUGUCACACUACAGGUACGUGCCCGUGUCUGGUGAUAUGACUUUUGAAAAAAACCCAACACAAUUCUGCACCAUCAGCUCUGCCUCUAAUUGCCACUGCCAUGCCUGUGGCACUCUGCUCUCUGUACGUCGCCAUAUUAAUAAUCUGAAUAGCCUUCUUGUUGAGUGCCUCAGGUCGUACCAAGCCAUCUCCAAUGAAGGAGUGAAUCGACUCAGGCACUGUGGGUAGGUGCCCAUUUUUAAUGUGUGCUGUUGGACUUUUUUAGUGUGACCACGAGUUUUAAUAGAAGAAUUGAUCAAGCCCUAGAUCGACUGCGCGCAGGGCAACUGAUCAAUAUUGUUGGUAUAUUGAGUGUUUGUUUUAGCUUUGUGAUUUUGAAUGGUUUCAUAAAAUUGAUAUUUUAUUGGGUAAUAUUGUAAUCGAUAAUGUUGUUUGUGUUUUUCAGCUGUGUUGUCUCUGCUGUCCUUUUUUCGUCCUUUUGAUUGAUUUGGAAUUUUGUUUUGGUUAGUCCGUCCAGCUGUAAAGACUGUUAUUGAUUGGGAGUGAGUUGUGUAAGGGCGGACUAACCUCCUUUUUUGUUUGUUUAUUUUUUUGUGCCACUUCCCCUUAUAUCCCAGAUUACAGGUCAUGCAUAGUGCUGCUUUCCAGCUGUGCUGAGACCCGAAUUGUUUGCGGUGCGUGCCACAGGUAAAUCGAUUGCAGUGUCGCUAAAAGGGGUUUAACGGUUUGCAGUGUUGUGUUAUUUUUCGCACCAUUUGUGUGGGUGACCAUGCCCACUCUGAUGCAUCGAUGUCCGGAGAACCGCCUCUUCCUCGUCCCUGUCGUUGGUCCAGGGUUGUGAGGGUGGGAGGUCGGGGCUCCACGCUGACACUGACUCAUAUGAUGCGUCUUCAAGCCAGUUUUAAAACGUGGAUGAAUCGUGGAUGAAUCUCGGGAGUCAGAAGAUUGUCCAGAGUCACUGCGCCAGCUGCCGCUGUUUUUCUGCGGCGGUCAUGUCGUCAAAAGCACCUAACUGAGACAUUCACACGAUGGGGUGAGCAACAAGUGUCCAGAGCGCAGCGAUGAAGACAGAGUGGAAGAAGUUUGAAGGAAGAGGAAAUGCUCUCUUACCCUUUAGUUUCUAGUUCAACCCCCGGAUCACGCUCGCAGACUAUCGCUGCUACCUCAGUUCAACAGCUGGUCUCUCCUGCCAUAAUUGCCACCACCUCUCAGGUUCGGGCUUUCUCCCAUGCUGUUCCACAUGCCUGCCUCCCUGCUUCUCCGCCAGGACCUCCGGACUCGUCCUUUCACAGACUCACCCGGACCUUGCCUCUCCCUCAAUCUCUCUCCACCUGCUGACAAAGUAAGCGAGAGCAGUACAGCCCUGGGAUUGUUUGCCUCCACGUCCAUCCGGCUCACUGUAACUCUCUUCUCCUGUACUUGUAGUGCCUUUCCCCUGUCAGACUCUGGAUCCUCACGCCCACACUCCUGCUCACUCACAGCUUGGUUUCAUAGUUUUAAAUCCAUGUGCAUAGUCAAGUGUCACAACUCUAGUCGUUAUCACAGUUCAACUUAGCCUUGUAAAUAAAUGUCAUUAUAGUGAUAUUCUGUUUUCCCCAGCCAAGAGCCCUUCCUAGUUUUCUCCUGCUCACAGUAGUGUUUCUGCCCUCACCUUUGUACAUAUUUCCCCAGUCACUAGUGUUCAUGUGUAGUUUAUUCUCACAUUGAUAUUUUAUCACUGCAUUUAGUCACGAUAUCACAUAACUUGUAUGUGAAAUUUCCAGAUUCCUUCUUUCUGCAUCUGAAAUGAAAAAAUUGACAGAAUUGAAUCAUAAAAACUACAUGAGAGCAGUGAUAUGAGUGAUAUUGACUAUGUGCACGUUAGCAUAUGCUACUGUCACGGUUCGGCAUGGCAGACCGUGGGGGGUGCAGGGAAUGAGGACCCAGGCGCGGUGCUCUGUGUGCGAACAGUGCGUUUAUUUACAGUGUAUGGUGCAAAACAACAGUAAAUCCCCGUGUUUCCCAAGA